UGGAAAAUAUCUCAUGUCAACAAUUUGACACAUGUUGAUACGUAUCCUUGCGUAUUUUAAGUGGAUAGGCUACAAUAUUGUUGCUUUUUAAGUGAGUAUACGGCGUAGUCUUGCGUAAGCCUAUCAUGUAGACUAGGCUACACCACUGGGGGAAAAACCUGUUCACCAAGCCAUGCUGCGCCCCUGACUGCAGGGCCCAGGCUGACACUGUGUUGAAGCCUUUCACCACAGACGCUCCCGGCACCAGGCUGCUCAGGUACUCAGCGUUGGAUUGUGGGAACUGGCCCCUCUUCAGGUUGUUGCUGAUGUCCACCAGCACCUUGCCCUCCAGAGCAGGGGUCAGCGAGGUCAGGAAGUCAUAGUGAUCGCGCUGCACGGCUAUAAAGAUCACCUGAGCCAUCUGAGCUGCCUCUGUGUGGGUCAUGACCUUUGAACCCUUGGCCACCAAUGCCGAGUUCUUGGGGUCACGUGACCCAAACACGACCUCAUAUCCUGCCUGGAGCAGACGAGGCCCCAGAGAGCGUCCAAAGUCCCCUGUGCCAAAGAUGCCCACCGUCCCCUGCUUACGCUCCCCAGCAAGAGACGUCAUGGCAACAGAAUCAGACUUCAUGGCUGCAUGAACCAAUACAAGUAUAUUUACAGGUCAUGGAGAUGACUCAUUUGAUAGUCUUCCAGUGGAAAUGUCAACAACAUCAUCCCCCUCAUCUAAUCAAGAAGUAUAUCCUUGUAGCUGUGCUACUUUGAUGGGCGAACAUUUCUUCAAAAGACUGAUUCACUCCCAGCUUGAAAUUAAUUUCUGGAAUCCACCUGAAAAGAGAUUUCCUGGCAUGGUCACAGAUAGCACGCUGAUCACAGCUCUUCAGAACUUGCAUGCACAGUUGUAUAUGCAUGCUCACACUCUCUCACACACACAUAGAGAGAGAGAGAGCACUCUGCAAAAAUGUGCACAGUGAUCCUACAGACAGUGGAAAAGACCAGCGUUCCACUACAUACAUAAUGCACAAUGCCAACCAUAGAAAUAAACAGGAGAGUGAAUGUG